rnacentral:lncRNA from 1 species
CACACAUGCUGAUGGACUGACAGGAAAAGAAGUGAUCCAUUUUCAGGGAUAAAUAUUAUUUAUCUUUGUUUCUACUGUUUUUCUUAAAAUAUUCUUCAUUUGAUGAAUAGCUAUAAAAUACACAAAAGCUAAACACAUGAACAAAUAAAAAGACUUCAUUGUUAAGAGAUAAAUCAAUCAACAGAAACAGACUAAGAAAUGACCCAAAUGUUAAAGAAUUAUCAGAUAGGACUUUAUCAUAGCUAUAACUGAUAAAAGAUCUGUUGGGAAACGUGGACAACUUGCAUGAACAGAUGGGAAAUUUUAGCAGAGAGGUGGAAAUGAUUUUCAAAAAAUCAAGUGGAAAUGCUAGAAAUGUUUAAAAGAAACCCAUGUUAUCAAAGAUGAAUUCCUUUUACAUACUUAAAGGGAAGGUGGACAUCAUUGUUGAGGAAAGAACUGUGAACUUGAAGAUAGGUCAAUGAUUAAAACAGGACAAAAAGAAAAAAAAAGAAUUAAAAAACCCAAAACAGUAAGAGCUGUGAGACAGUUAUCAAAUGGAAUAAAAAUACAUCAUUAGAAUUCUAGAAGGAGAGGAGAUAGAGAAACAGAUAUAAGAAGUAGCUGAAGAGAUAAUGACUGAGAAUUUUUAAAAACUAAUAAAAAAUGACAAAGCAAAGAUACACAAAAUUCAAAGCAUCUCAAGGAGGAUGUCACACAUGCACACACAUACACACAGUAUAGUCAAACUUCUGAAAACCAAAGAUAUAGGGAAAAUCUUGAAAGCAGUCAAAGGAAAAAGCAACAUUAAAUGCAGUCGAACAAAGAUGUGAAUAUCAAGCAGACUUUGGUCAGAAAGUAGACAAACCAGAAGACAAUGCAGCUACUUCUUUAAGGCAAAAAAGCUAAUAGAACUCAUUGCCUGGAGACUUGGACAAUAAGAACUAUUAAGGGAAGUCCUUGAGGCAGCAGAAACAUACCAGAUGGAAAUGAAGAGCUCUAGCAAUACACAAAGAAAUGUCGAG